AUGAACGCUGGCGGCGUGCCUAACACAUGCAAGUCGAACGAAGCUUGACGGAUGAUUUCUUCGGAAUGAAACCAGAUAUGACUUAGUGGCGGACGGGUGAGUAACACGUGAGCAACCUGCCUUUCAGAGGGGGAUAACGGCUGGAAACGGUCGCUAAUACCGCAUGAUGUGUUCGGAUGGCAUCAUCUGAACAUCAAAGAUUUAUCGCUGAAAGAUGGGCUCGCGUCUGAUUAGAUAGUUGGUGGGGUAACGGCCUACCAAGUCUACGAUCAGUAGCCGGACUGAGAGGUUGAACGGCCACAUUGGGACUGAGAUACGGCCCAGACUCCUACGGGAGGCAGCAGUGGGGAAUAUUGCACAAUGGGGGAAACCCUGAUGCAGCAACGCCGCGUGAAGGAUGACGGUUUUCGGAUUGUAAACUUCUUUUCUUAGUGACGAAGACAGUGACGGUAGCUAAGGAAUAAGCAUCGGCUAACUACGUG
rnacentral:rRNA from 1 species